rnacentral:rRNA from 1 species
UACGUAGGGCGCAAGCGUUGUCCGGAAUUAUUGGGCGUAAAGAGCUCGUAGGCGGCUUGUCGCGUCGACUGUGAAAACCCGCAGCUCAACUGUGGGCUUGCAGCUGAUACGGGCAGGCUUGAGUUCGGUAGGGGAGACUGGAAUUCCUGGUGUAGCGGUGAAAUGCGCAGAUAUCGAGGAGGAACACCGGUGGCGAAGGCGGGUCUCUGGGCCGAUACUGACGCUGGAGGAG